CUAAAUGUACAAAUCAGACGAUGUUUUCGUAAAAUAUUAACAAGCAUAAUAUGUACGACAACCGCAUCUCGAUAAUACUGCCAUCACAAACACUCAUCCCUUUCUUGUACUUAUCGCAACAGUCCUACCAACCGCUAUAGUUCUUGCGGCAACGUUGUUAGACUUUUUCAAAUUCGCAAUAGCUGUGGUUACUCUCUUUUCAAAGAAAAUCUACGUUUGAAUAUUAUACAUUAACGUUCGAAAUGGCGUCGCGUUUGAAAAACGAAGGUAAACGGAGCGGAUUAUGGCAGCACUUUACAGCGGUGGAUGCAGUAAGGGCAAAAUGCGAUUUUUGUAAAACUACUCUGUCUUACAAAGGUGGAGGUACAUCCAAUUUACGAUAGCAUCUCCUUGUUAAGCAUCCAACAAUUGAGUUAUCGCAAACAACAUCGGUAAGAAACGAUGAACAUGCCACAAUGGCCCCUGAACAUAGUACGUCAUCAGCUACAAAACAAACGAGGCUCAGCAACUACACGCAACCAAAAUUAUCAAAAGAAAUGGUAACAGCUUUAAAUAAGAAGCUACUACAAAUGAUAGUGAAAGACUUUCAACCGUUCUCCAUUGUCGAGGACGUUGGCUUUAAAAACUUCAUCAGUGAGCUG
rnacentral:lncRNA from 1 species